ensembl:lncRNA
CCCCAAACCAAGGCUCCACAGUCCAGAGAGAAAAGGCAGUCUUGGGGAGAACUGAUUUUUUUAAAGCUUUGAACUGUCAGGAGACCCCCAGGUCUUGUUGAGCUUCUUUAUUUUGCAGAAUGAGUGUUUCGAUUGCACUAAAUACAGGGGAACAACAAUCCUUUGGGGAACUCUUGGGCCCUGCAGGUCUUUGUGUGGUCUUGGUUUCACAGCAUCCUCAGAAAUCUACUCAAGUGGCACCAUCUCCACGCAUGCAGCACAGAGGAAAGGAGGGUUGGACAUGAGAGUGGACGUGCCUGUUGGACCUUCUCACCCCAAGGACGGCGGAAGGGGGCAGAGUGCGGAAAGGUGUACCAUGUGUGCCCAGAUGCGUAAGCAGAGGACAGAGGACGCAGUGCAGGAGGGACCCCAGGCCGGGCCCCGUCUGCUCUCGGGGGACCAACCUCUUGGCCUUCCUUGCCGGGGAGGAGCCAUCGCAUGCACCUGAUGAGGUGAACUGAGGACAUGCGCUGGAGAACAGGGAUGGUGGAGAUUUCACUCAGUGCAGAUUGAGGAUACGGUUUCUAGAAUCACAAGAAGUUGUAGAACUAAAAAAACAUACUAGCCUGCGUCUGAGUUCAUCCUUGCCUUCAAAAAAACCACACCAUCUGUUGCUAAAUAAAUAGAUAACAUAAUCCAAGCCGUUAAGGACGGACACAGCAUGCUGGAUAAUGGGGGAGAAGCCAUCCUUGAUCAUAUGGUGUGAAGGCCGUCAGCAUUUUAGCAAAGUCUGUGGGAAGCACACAAAAUAUGGAGAAGUGAGAGGUUUUCCCAAUGGUGUGAGGGAUUCAGUUUUUAGUUGGCCAAGUCGAUAAUGAACAGCUAACAACCGCUUGUUCAUUUCGGCGACUGCAAACCGAAGCCGCCUCCCAGCGGGUCUUGUUGGUGGCUUCUGCUUCCUGCUCUGAGUAAGGACUGCGUUGGUCACAGUAGCUCCUUGGUACCUGGUCCCUUUUGCCCAGUGGGAAAUAAUCUGCCUGCCUAUGAAGGAGACGCAAGAAUACUGGAGUGGGUUGCCACGCCCUCCUCCAGGGCAUCUUCCCUAGCCAGGGAUCAAACCCACAUCUCCUGUGUUUCCUGCUUUAUAGGUAGUUUCUUUACCUCUGAGUCACUGAGGAAGCCCAGGAUUAAGACAUGGAUGACUGUUAUCUGUGUUAAUUUUCAACAUCUCUCCUGAACAGAGAAAUAGUACAUGUCAAAUACAAGGAUGUAUGGUAUAAAAAUGUGAGAAGGUAGGCGAAACUGUCAUUUUUCAUAUGAUUAUCUAUAGAGAAAACCCAGCAGAAUUAAUGAAUAAAUUACUGAAACCAAACAGGGCCUAGUAAGGAACCUGGAUUAUUAAUAAAAUUAACCUACAGUUCUCAGUAGUGUUUUUCCUCAUCAGUAGCAAACAGUUGGGUUAUAUAGUAUAAAUAAGGCACCAUCAGAAUAGCCACCAGCUCUUCAGCAUCCAGAACUUAACCUGACAGAGAAUGCAUAAAGACCGUCAGAAGAAAAUUUAAAUACUCUUUCAUGGAGCACAAAAGGGGGUUUUAAUUAACGGGAGGAUAUCCUGGUUUCAUGUGCGGGCCGACGAACAUGACCAUCCAGAAGAGAGAGCCCCUGCCACGUAUCGAGGGUCACUAAAGGGCCGGAGCAGACGCAGGGCAGAACCAAACCCAGCCCAAGAAGAACCGUGAAGGUGACCAGAGCUGGCCAAGCGCUGGGGGGUCCACUGAUGAGUUUUCAUGCAAGAUGCCUCCAGUUCCUCUGCUCAAAGGUCUGAGUGUCUCCUGCGAGAGGCGUGGUAACCUGAGGCCCUUCUAGAAGGAGGGUCAGUGGGCUGCUUCCGGUCCCCCGCUGUCCUGCCCCACUGUGCGUCUCACAGCGUUGUCUGCUCUAGCGGCCGGCUGGGACCUCCUCCCCUUUCCUACUGCUCUGUUGAACAUCAUCUGGGACUUCAGUUCAAGGGUUUGUUUGUUUUCACGCUGUACUCCUGCUUCCUCCAAGGUAAUCUCUUAACAAUCGCCUUUGCAUUUCUCAGCCGUACUCUCAACAGUGAAAAUAUGUCCUUAGGUUUUGUCUGUCAUUCUUUCUGAGCCCUGUUAUCUUGUGCCUUUUGUAU